CCUACGGGUGGCAGCAGUGAGGAAUAUUGGUCAAUGGACGAGAGUCUGAACCAGCAAAGUAGCGUGAAGGAUGAAUGCCCUAUGGGUUGUAAACUCAGGUUAUAUGGGAAUAAAACGUGACACGUGUGGGAUUUUGUAUGUACCAUAUGAAUAAGGAUCGGCUAACUCCGUGCCAGCAGCCGCGGUAAUACGGAGGAGCCGAGCUUUAUCCGGAGUUAUUGGGUUUAAAGGGAGCGUAGGUGGAUUGUUAAGUCAGUGGUGAAAGUUUGCGGCUCAACCGUAAAAUUGCCGUUGAAACUGGCAGUCUUGAGUACAGUAGAGGUAGGCGGAAUUCGUUGUGUAGCGGU
rnacentral:rRNA from 1 species